ensembl:lncRNA
GGGCCCGCGAGCCUACUGCCCCCCUGUCACGGGCACAGAUCUAUCUAGUGGAAGAAGCCUCCUCCAAGACCAGAGAAUGAUGACUGGCAAGGAAUAUGGAAAGGUUUAGGAAGAAUCUUAGAAGCGUGGGGACCCGCCAUACCAUGGGAUUUCACUCUUGAACAUCUGUGGAAUCCCGAGAAACUGAGCCAGCAUUUGAGUCAGGGACGGUGCGGCUUAGAUAGAUCAAAGGAAGUACGGCUUAUCUGGGGCUUGGCUUGUGCCUACCGUGCUCUGUAUAGUACUGUUCUGGAGAGAGAGAGUUUCCGAGCAGAGGUGCAAGCCAAAGGGGGAAAUCUUCAAGCCAGACCUGACCAGUCACAGCAGACACCAGUAACAGUGUCAGUAGCCCCUGUAGAAGGCAAGAAAUGGAAGCGGGUGUCCUCGUGUCUAGAG